CUGGGGUGUGUUUUUAUAUGGGCUACUGGGUGUAUUUAUAUGGUUGACUGGGUGUAUAUGGGCUGACUGGGUGUUUUUAUAUGGGUUGACUGGGUGUAUAUGGGCUGACUGGGUGUAUAUGGGCUGACUGGGUGUAUAUGGGCUGACUGGGUGUAUAUGGGCUGACUGGGUAUAUAUGGGCUGAGUGGGUGGAUAUGGGCUGAGUGGGUGUAUAUGGGCUGACGGGUGUAUAUGGGUUGACUGGUGUAUAUGGGCUGACUGGGUGUAUAUGGGUUGACUGGGUGUAUAUGGGCUGACUGGGUGUAUAUGGGCUGACUGGGUGUUUUUAUAUGGUUGACUGGGUGGAUAUGGGCUGACUGGGUGUAUAUGGGCUGACUGGGUGUAUAUGGGCUGACGGGUGUAUAUGGGCUGACUGGGUGUUUUUAUAUGGGCUAACUGGGUGUAUUUAUAUGGGUUGACUGGGUGUAUAUGGGCUGACUGGGGUUUUUAUAUGGGUUGACUGGGUGUAUAUGGGCUGACUGGGUGUU
rnacentral:lncRNA from 1 species